rfam:Parcubacteria group bacterium RIFCSPHIGHO2_02_FTLL_48_10b rifcsphigho2_02_scaffold_6518, whole genome shotgun sequence.
CUAUUUGAGAGUUUGAUCCUGGCUCAGGAUGAACGCUGGCGGCGUGGAUAAGGCAUGCAAGUCGAACGGCCUUGUGCGUAGCACAAGUCGCGGAAAUUCGCAGAUACCAUUGCAGAACACCGCAGAAAUUUUCUGCGUGCACCUGCUUGCUAUCUGCGUUAUUCUGCGUCUCGCGCUAUGCGCGAGGCAGUGGCGAACGAGUCAGUAAUACCUUGGUACGUACCCUAGAGUUUGGCAUAGCCCAUCGAAAGGUGGGGUAAUUCCAAAUUGUCUGAUAGCCGAAUUUUGUAUGAAAGUCAGAAAAUUUCUAAUAUCUAAUUUCUAAUUCCUAAACAAGUACUAAUUUUUAGUGUCUAAAAAUGUUUUUUUAGUCAUUGGGUUUUGUUUAGAAAUUAGGAUUUAGAAAUUGGGAAUUUAGCGAUUUGCAUACAGAAUUCGGUUAUCAGUAAAGAUGCAAAUCGCUCUAGGAGCGGCCUAGGCCCGAUCAGCUAGUUGGUGAGGUAACGGCUCACCAAGGCUAUGACCGGUAGGGGGGGUGAGAGCCUGUUCCCCGACGACGAGACUGAGACACGGCUCGUACACCUACGGGUGGCAGCAGUCGAGAAUAUUCGACAAUGGGCGAAAGCCUGAUCGAGCGACGCCGCGUGCAGGAAGAAACCCUUCGGGGCGUAAACUGCUUUUCUUUGGGAUGAAGUCCAGUCCUUUUGGAGUAUGACAAAAGCCGCUUUAUGCGCGGCUUCCAAACCUAGAUUAAAGAACUAGUUAUUAGGAAUCAGGUCGAAGACGAGGACAGCCGGUGCUACCAAUUGUCCGACAAACGAUGAGUUGAUCCUUAUCGGGUCGGUCAGUUGGAUAAUUUUCGCUGAGCCCUUGAGCCUUUCUUAAGGCCAGUCCGUCAGCUAAUUUUUCGUCGUAGUUAUUUUGACCCGUAUCGAUUUCGAAUGAUUCAAUGUGCUGUUCUUGGUAUUUAGUUCUAGUUGCUACAAGUAAAAGGUGAUAAUGGUAGAUCAUUAGCUUGUCUCCAUGGGUUCAGAAAAAUACUAAAACUAAUUUUAACACGAAGUUCUACUUUGUCAAGUCGUAAUUCAAGAGGACUGGAUUGACAGUACCAGAGGAAUAAGGGGCUGCUAACUUCGUGCCAGCCCCGUUCACACAACUUUGUGUGGCGAGGGCUGAAUCUGGCGCGACCUUCAUGAGCAAUCAUGAUUGAAUAACUUUGCUUAUAUGCUGGAACCUGAUAUGUGCGGCGGUCAGCCCCUUGCAGGGCUUGACUUACAUAUUGGCAAUCAGCAGGGAAGUCAUCUCGCUUAGCGGGAUUGACCCCUCAGAGACUUGACCUGAAAGAUGGUUGGAGUCAUCACAAAAUGAUGGCUAACACGCAGAGCCCCCGAUUUAUUUCGGGGUGGUGAUAUAGUCCAUGUCCUAUCAAACAACAUAAAGUUGUGUGACGGGGCCAGCAGCCGCGGUAAUACGAAGGCCCCAAGCGUUAUCCGGAAUUAUUGGGCGUAAAGGGUGCGUAGGAGGUUUUGUAAGUCUUGUGUUAAAUCUCCCUGCUCAACGGGGGGGCCGCAUGAGAUACUGCAAAACUUUAGAGGGCGCGAGAGGCUUGCGGAACGCACGGUGUAGGGGUGAAAUCCGUUGAUAUCGUGCGGAACACCAAAGGCGAAGGCAGCAAGCUGGCGCGUUCCUGACUCUGAUGCACGAAAGCGUGGGGAGCAAAAAGGAUUGACGCUCAUAAUUGUAUUUUCUCGCAACUAUACUUUGGAAUUGGAAACGCAAACUCGGAAUAUUUUUUGCUCACUAGACGCUGCGCGAUAGACAAACUUGGAAAUUUUUCUUA